AUGAACGCUGGCGGCGUGGCUAAGGCAUGCAAGUCUAAGGGGUGUAGCAAUACAUCACUGGCAAACGGGUGCGUAACACAUUGGUAACCUACCCCGAAGUCGCGAAUAACCCUUCGAAAGGAGGGCUAAUACGCGAUGGUGAGUUCCCCGGUAGGGGAUACUCUAAAACUACGGUGCUUCGGGAGGGGCCUAUGGUCCAUCAGCUAGUUGGUAGGGUAACGGCCUACCAAGGCAACGACGGAUAGCGGGUGUGAGAGCAUGACCCGCCUCACUGGGACUGAGACACUGCCCAGACUCCUACGGGAGGCUGCAGUCGCGAAUCUUCCUCAAUGGCCUAACGGCUGAAGGAGCGACGCCGCGUGCAGGAUGAAGGUUUUCGGAUUGUAAACUGCUUUUACACGGGACGAACAAAUGACGGUACCGUGUGAAUAAGAGGUUGCUAACUCUGU
rnacentral:rRNA from 1 species